GUGAGGGGGUGACUAGUGACAGAGUGAGGGGGUGACAGGUGACAGAGUGAGGGGGUGACAGAGUGGGAGAGGGGGUGACUAGUGACAGAGUGAGGAAGGGGCUGACACAGUGACAGAGUGAGGGAGGGGAUGACACAGUGACAGAGUGAGGGAGGGGGUGACUGUCACUAGUCACCCCAUCCCUCCCUCUGUCACUAAUCACCACCUCCCUCAUUCUGUCACUAGUCACCCCUUCCCUCCCUCACUCUGUCACUAGUCACCCUCUCUCUGUCACUAGUCACACCCUCCCUCUCUCUGUCACUAGUCACACCCUCCCUCAC